rnacentral:rRNA from 1 species
UACGGAGGGUGCGAGCGUUGUUCGGAAUCACUGGGCGUAAAGCGCGUGUAGGCGGCCUGCUAAGUCUGAUGUGAAAGCCCGAGGCUCACCCUCGGAAGUGCCUUGGAAACUGGCAGACUGGAGUCCCGGAGAGGAGGGUGGAAUUCCUGGUGUAGCGGUGAAAUGCGUAGAUAUCAGGAGGAACACCGGUGGCGAAGGCGGCCCUCUGGACGGUGACUGACGCUGAGACGCGAAAGCGUGGGGAGCAAACAGG